GAUGAACGCUGGCGGCGUGCCUAAUACAUGCAAGUCGAGCGAACAGACGAGGAGCUUGCUCCUCUGACGUUAGCGGCGGACGGGUGAGUAACACUUGGAUAACCUACCUAUAAGACUGGGAUAACUUCGGGAAACCGGAGCUAAUACCGGAUAAUAUAUUGAACCGCAUGGUUCAAUAGUGAAAGACGGUUUUGCUGUCACUUAUAGAUGGAUCCGCGCCGCAUUAGCUAGUUGGUAAGGUAACGGCUUACCAAGGCAACGAUGCGUAGCCGACCUGAGAGGGUGAUCGGCCACACUGGAACUGAGACACGGUACAGACUCCUACGGGAGGCAGCAGUAGGGAAUCUUCCGCAAUGGGCGAAAGCCUGACGGAGCAACGCCGCGUGAGUGAUGAAGGUCUUCGGAUCGUAAAACUCUGUUAUUAGGGAAGAACAAAUGUGUAAGUAACUAUGCACGUCUUGACGGUACCUAAUCAGAAAGCCACGGCUAACUACGUG
rnacentral:rRNA from 1 species